rnacentral:rRNA from 1 species
UACGUAGGGGGCAAGCGUUGUCCGGAAUUAUUGGGCGUAAAGAGCUCGUAGGCGGUUCGGCAAGUCGGAUGUGAAAUCUCCACGCUUAACGUGGAGGGGCCAUUCGAAACUGCCGUGACUCGAGUCCGGUAGGGGAGUGCGGAAUUCCCGGUGUAGCGGUGAAAUGCGCAGAUAUCGGGAGGAACACCAGUGGCGAAGGCGGCACUCUGGGCCGGAACUGACGCUGAGGAGCGAAAGCGUGGGGAGCGAACAGG